ensembl:snoRNA
GCAUGACACAAUGAUGAGUGCAUAGUUCAGCAGAUUUACCGUGAAGAAUAUCACUUCUUUCGCUCCUAUCUGAUGUCAGUC